GGGGCUGUGGCUCAGUGGAAGAGCCUCUGCUUUGCAUGCAGAAGGUCCCAGGUUCAAUCCCUGGCGUCUCCA